rnacentral:rRNA from 1 species
AGUGGCGAACGGGUGAGUAACGCGUGAGCAACCUGCCUUUCAGAGGGGGACAACGGUUGGAAACGACCGCUAAUACCGCAUAAUGCAUUUUAAUCGCAGUGGUUGAGAUGCCAAAAGAUUUUUAUCGCUGAAAGAUGGGCUCGCGUCUGAUUAGAUAGUUGGUGGGGUAACGGCCUACCAAGUCGACGAUCAGUAGCCGGACUGAGAGGUUGAACGGCCACAUUGGGACUGAGAUACGGCCCAGACUCCUACGGGAGGCAGCAGUGGGGAAUAUUGGGCAAAUGGGGGCAACCCUGACCCAGCAACGCCGCGUGAAGGAAGAAGGCUUUCGGGUUGUAAACUUCUUUUACCAGGGACGAAGGACGUGACGGUACCUGGAGAAAAAGCCACGGCUAACUACGUGCCAGCCGCUGC